CUCUGCCGGAGGGAGCGUGGCCUCGGGUGAGGUUCGUGUGUAUUGUAUCGGGAAGUAUCGUGUGUAUUGUAUCGCCUUCGUGGAAGGCGCGUGCGGGUCGAGUGUGUGAGUGGACGUGUGAAUGUGUGAAUGCGCGCAUGGUGCGUGCAAGGCGAAUGCGUGCGUCACCCCCGCGCCCCUCCCCCGGCCUACACCUUGAUCUUAUUUGAUCGGGUCGUGACUCCAGCCCCGCCGGGCCGACCCGAAAUGAAAAGCUCCCCUCCUGCGAAGCCCUUUCCUUGGGGCGCUGUGCAGCGAGGCCCCUUGGGCGGUGGCAACGCCGCGGUCCCCGAGGUCCCGGAGCCGGCCCAACGGGGCCCGGCGCUCAGAAGUGAUGAAUUGAUCAGAUAGACGAGGCCGGGCUUGUCCCGGGCCACUGAUUAUCGAGGCGAUUCUGAUCUGA